UACACUAAAAAUCAAAGAAUGAACAGUGUCUAGGAACAGUGAUUCGGCUUUCACUAGGAACAGUGAUUCGGCUUUAGAUGUAUGUAUAAUAAUAAUGAGGUGAUAGACGCGAUCUUCUCUCUCUGUCUUCGUUCUUGGCUGGGCUCUGCGCAUCUGGAGAUUCUUGGGUGUGUGACUGAUUUGGGCUAGGAGAAGGAGGCUGAUUGUGGGGGAAAUGGGAGAGGAAUUAGCAGCGAAAGAGAGUGGUAAAAUUUCCUAGAGACUGAGGGGCGGGUGCGAAAAUUUCUGAUUGUGAAGUAAGCUAUUGGAUUUGAUUCUGCAUGUUGGAUCUCUGCAAUCUACUAAUCAAUUGUUUUGAUGAGUUUUCUUCGAUUUGUUGAUAAUCUUCCGGAUUGUCAGAGAGUAGAGGAGCUCUUGCCUGCUUGAAAUAAGUACAAGAGAGAGAGAGGAGAGGGGUUCUUGCUUGCUUGAAAGAAAAGAAGUGGAAGAUUAGGUGGCAUUGGAGGUGUUGUCAAUUGUACGUGAAGCUGCUGCUACUAACAUUCCGAUCAUCUUUCUCAGGGUGGUUGCCUAUAAUUGACAUUCCAAAAGCAGGUGAAGCUGUGAAAAAUAGAAGUGGAUAAUAUAUUGGGAACAGUGAACUAUCAAUGUUUGCAAGUAUUUUGAAUUCAGGUUUCAGCUGCUACUGUUACUUUUGCUGCAGCUCCUGCUGUUGGUGCAACUGAUUUAGUUGUUGUGAGAUUAGUCUGCAGACAAAUGAAAUGACAGUUGUAACUAGGUUAGCCUGUAAGUAGGACAAUGUAUUUUUGACAAGCUGUUUCAACAGCCAUUGUAAUCUAUAUUUGAAUAUUACCAGAACAUCUAUAUUAAUGGUAAUGUUUGUCAACCAAGAUCUAUGUUAGU